rnacentral:rRNA from 1 species
GGGUCAGUAGGUUGGUCGUGCCACCGGUACGUACUGGUCUCACUGAUUCCUCCUUCCUGAAGAACCGUAAUGCCAUUAAUUUGGUGUUGCGGGGAAACAGGACCGUUACUUUGAAAAAAUUAGAGUGUUUAAAGCAAGCUAGCGCUUGAAUACAUUAGCAUGGAAUAAUGAAAUAGGGCGAUCGAUCCUAUUUUGUUGAUUUCUAGGAUUGACGUA